CAAAAAUUUGCACGAUUCAACUUGUUUCUAUGCAAACUUUUUGUUUUCUUUUUUCAAAAGGAAAACAUUAAGGGAAAAUAACGAAUGUUUUUUUUUUUCGAAAAAUAGAGAAUUUAUGAAUAUUUCUCCGGAAAUAGAAACGGUGUUCAUAGAUGAGCGCAAAGUUCAUCACUGCAUUUAGCUCUUUCACCACACACGUUUUUUAUAGACAGAAAAAUGAUAGAAUACUAGACUAAAGCGCAUUUGAAUGGUCAAGUUAGUCCUCGUGAUUUCUCGUUCGCUCAAGGCGGUUUAUACUAGCGUGUGAUCAUGAAUUGCACACGGCGUAGCAUCGUGAAUCGUUGCCAUAAAUUAUUACGCCAUCGAAAAAACCUCGAGUCCAAUCCUCAUUUCUAAGACAUAAGCUUUAGUUUAACGAAGCGCAUAGUUAGUUUGUUUUUUUUUAUCUUUAUUUGUAUAAAGGUUAGACGAAGCGGCUUUGAAAUGGUGAUGAGGGUGGAGGCGGAGUCGAAUGGAAAACGGUCACGUGACGGACUGCCGCGAGGGUCCAUUGCACCACCGCCACACCACUUGCGGACCCCAACAUUCGAAAUGGUUAAAAAGCUUGAGAACGAUGAGAAUUGUAAAGAAAGAAACCAGGGGGUUUAGAAUUACGCAUUCAGAAGGUGUCUAGUUUUCUCUGUUUCAUGACGGCCAAGAGAAAAGAAUGAUUCCAGUUCUGACUCGGCGUGAUGGAUCGACUCCAUUCUCUCUUUCUCUUCGUCUCUCGCUUCCUUAAUCGGAAUUAGGAAUAGAUUAUUCCCAUAUUUGUCUUUCAAUGGCUCUUAAACUUUUCCCUAUUUUCCACCUAUCGGUCAUUGAUAAGAGCGUAGCCAAUGACUAAACGAAACGACCACGACGCUCGUUUAGCUCGAUAAAACCCCGAUAAAAAUAUCGAGUACUAUUUUGCCCUCAAAACUGACAAAAACGGGAACUUUCCAAAUACUAGCGCUCCUGUUUUUCGAGUUUUCCUUUUCUUUUUGUUUUUACUCCUCUUCCUGCCGCAAUCGCACCUUAUGACAGUCGACGGGAAUUUCCAAAAAAAAAAAUGUUUUCUUUCUUACUUACUCUAUUACUACUUACAAGGUGACUCAAACAAGGAACCUGUUUUCCUCUUGCUUUUGUUUUUUUUCCUACAAGACUCUCGUAAAACUAUCGCCGCAUGAGAAAGAACAAAAAGAACUGGUUUCAAGAUCAUUCGUCUUGAUCAGUCGAAACGGAUGAUGAUGGAUUUACGAUGAUGACUAUCGCGCUUGGGUUCCCGAACCAAAUAAGACGAAAUUCUCCCGCAAUGCAUUUUUCUGUUUUCACUCUUUCUCCCACCCACUAUUCUAGGCCAUACCCUUGGCCGGAAAAGAUUAGUGGAAGUCAUUCUCUGAUCCGAUAUUUGGAAAUCUGUCGUUUUGCUAAAGGUAAAGGGUAUUUUACCGUUGAUUUGAUGGACAAGCACGUUAAGGACAUCCAUACUUAGUCAACUGUCCUUCUCAUUUUGCUCUUGUUGAUGAAGAGCGUGACGAGGCAUUAAAGCGAAAACGAGGCCGAGGUACUGUAUUGUCUUUUUGGCAAGGAACUCCGCAAAAACCAAAGUGGGCGUGGGUUUUUACUUUUUUUUUCUUGUUUUUUUUUUUUUUUUUUUUUUAAUCUUUCGUUUUUAUUUCACCGUUGUUCAGUUUUGCGUGAUAACCUUGGAAAGUGAAUGCGGUUGCCGUGCGGUCGACCGUUCUGGUUUCUGGCCCGGUAUUUUUACACAAUUCACACUAUCAAUCGACAAUUUGUACUUCACGUGUAGCCACCACCAAAAGUUUCACAGCCUCAAUACCGCUCGUUUCGGUUGCCCAAACCUUUUUUCGUUUUUUUUUUUCCUAAUAUACAACUGUUCAUUGUGAAAUUGCUGCUAAUUCUUUUUAGCUAUCUUGCACCAUCAUUAAGACGUAAUUGAGGAAAUGUAUCACGUGAUCAGCUGCUGAAACGGGGUAACCGUUCCGGGGGGUGCACAGCGCCGGCGCCCUCACAUUUUUAAUCUAAAUUUAUGUGCGUAAUUGUAGCUAAUGUUCGAUAACCUAGAUUUUCAAAGUCGUAGCCAACUUGGAAGUGAUGGAUUGUGAUCGCUGUAGCAUGCUGAACUCAAUGCCGAACGGGCGAAACGGAAUCAACAAUAGUAAAACAACAAACCAUACGAUAGGCUAAUCAUUGUUUCUCGCUUUUCCCCUGUUUCAUUUUCGUUUUCUGUUUUCUUUUUCUUUUUUUUUGUUUUAGAUUCUUUUUUAGACUGAUUGACAUUAGGAUCGCAAACCCAAAAUAAAGGAGUUCGCAUCCGGGAGCUUAGGGCGGAAGUUAUGGCGAUAAAAUCCGGGGAGGAGGUACAUGGUGUUGGACUCGUCAAGCCGACAGAUCGACUGUCGGCCUUCGCUUAAAAGCCGCAGUUAAAUCCUGUUGCGUCAUGCUAUAGACAACUUCAUGGGAGCGUGGAGGAUUGCAAAGGAAGAACCCGGCUGGCCUGGACCAGCAGCGCACGUCCGCAAAAUAAAAUAUCCGUCUUUCAGGGGAACGCAAAAAAGAACUCGUACUAAAAAAAAAGAAAAGGUUAGAAAAAAAUAGAAGUAGCGAAUUGAAAAUAAAAAAUAAAAUGCAAAAUAAAAAGGAGAAAAGUAAAUCAAUACCUCAAGACCUUUCGACUCCUGUCGAAGGCGCCGUUGGCUUUGGCGAGAUGCAGCAGAGAAGAAAGCCAAUCUCUCUCACGCUCGACUCAUCAUAAACUUGAUCCCAGCAGAUGUCUACUUGCCCCGUUGGCGUAAUCACGCAGCGUUGAUAUGUCUUCGUCGUUCAAAAAUGACACACAAUCCGAUGGGCAAAAUACCGUAGCGAUCGGAAAUGUCUGUAAAGUUCAACUACCGAAAAGCUUAGUGGUACACCCACUAGAUGACUUUGUCAUGAAAAAUCAAUACACAUUGACAACUUUU